UGGUGCUGUGCUCUGAUCUACUAACCCGGCCUUACUAACUGGUUUCUCUAACUAAUCCAGCCCUGCCGAGCUCUGGGG
rnacentral:lncRNA from 1 species